UUCUUCAAAAUCUCAAUAUUAAUCCAAAUGACAUGAAAUCAGCACUUAAUUUUUUUUUCAAGUUUGUUUUCAAAUUCUACUCUUUUAUUUUUCAAAAGAAUCCUAAAGUUGCUAUAGGUACUCAAUUUUGUGCCUUAAGAUUUGAUUUCAAUUCUAAUUAAUAAUGAAUCUUCUUUGAAUACUAAUUCUUAUUUUUUAAAAAUAUUUUUUGCUAAAAUCAACUCUUAAUUUCUUUUUAUAUAUGUAUCAUUGUUGUUUUACUUAUUCUAUAAUUCUUUUCAGAAUAAACCUAUAUAGAAGAAUUCGAACAUAGGGAAAGACUAAGUGCAUGAAUUUUAUUUGUUAGGAUCAUACAAUAAACUAUAUUCCAAACCACUAAAACACUAAGAAACAUUACAAUGCUUUUUCCCAGUAACAAUACUCCUUCAUCAACUGAUAACAAUGGUGUGCAACCCUACACUCUCAAAAGACCGCUCAAAAUACAUAAUUUCCAUCCAAUACUUGAAAUAAUAGACUUCACUCCAACCAAUCUGAAUUCACAUAACUUCUGUAAUCACCAACUUCCUUUCUUGAAAACACACACAACUUUCAAUAAAUAAUAAUCAUAAUCUUUUAAUAACUCCUCAUAUAAUUCUAUCACUCAGUACUCCAAUUACAUAAUCAAUAACUCAUAAAUCAAUCUCUGAUUUAUUCUACAGAUUCACUUCUCAAUAUUCAAAAACUAUCCAUUACUCUUCAAUAACAAAUAAAAAUAAAGAGGUAGCACCAAGCUUAACCCUAGUUCAUGACUAUCAUAAUCUGACACUCAGACUAACUUCUACAAUUCUUAUAUACUUACUCUCUAUUCUUAGAUUUUAACCGUAAUCUUGUAAUUAAUCACUUUUAAUAAUUAAAUUAACCAUGCCUCUUCCUGAACUGACUAUUCUAUGGACUAUUAGUCUAUUUUAUCAAUAUCUUACAGAAACGAACUAAUAUCUAUUCUACAUAGUCCCACUCCUAUCUGUGUCCUCGUAAAUACACAAUUAUUACCUAUCGCAAACACACAAUUGUUACCUAUCUAAAAAUUACUUAAAAAAAUUCUACAAAGUUACUAUUUCUUUUGGUCCACCCAAUUGAUCAUUUGCUGCAUUAUCUAAUGUGGAUUCUACCAAUUCUAAUUCUAUAUUCAAAUCUUCCUCCUCCUUCAAUCCAUCCAUCAACUCCUUCUUCAAUUGGUUUGAGAGAUCUUCAUUAUACUCUCCCAAUUCAUAGACUUGAGCGUCCAAUUUCAAGAUUUGGGCAUCACGGAGUUCCAACUGAUGUUGUUGCUGAUUCAUCCAUUCUAGAAUAUUUUCAAUUGAUGCUUGUGACCGGCUCCUCAUUGUUAACUCUUCCAUCAAUUUUACCACCUCAACUUAUAAAACUUCAAUUUUGGA
rnacentral:lncRNA from 1 species